UUUUGAUUUCUAUCAGUUUCUGUUUUUUCUUGUUUUUUUUUAACACCCUAAAAUGGCAACUUCCCUGUUGACCAAUCAUUUAAGGCUAAUGAUAGGUAUUAUAUUAAUGAUACAUCUGUGUCUAUCAUUCUUUUUAUUCUCUCACCCUAGAGGAACAGAAUGAGUUUUUUACCAUCAUUUGACAGAUGAGAAAAAUGAGGCAUAAGGAAGGGAACUGACUUGCCAAAAAUCAUUCAAUUAGUUAAUGACACAGAGACUAUUAAAACUCAAUUCUUUUGACCCCAGGUCCUGCACUCUUUCUGCUCAAACCUAAUGGCCUUUGUGUGAGCUGUCUUGCAGCCAUGCAGUCCCAGGGUGUGCUGACAGAAGAGCUCAGACAGUAGCUCAGACUGCCUCCUCGUGCCAACCCUACAAGGACACUAAAACUCACAAAGCAAUUCCCUUUCCCAUUCUGAUGCCACCUCAGCUCACUCUUCACAGGAAAGGGCAGACUGUGCUAACCGGCACCGCUGCCCUGCAAAGUGAACGGAAACAUCAUGCAGAGAUAAAGUAGAAAGCAGAAACCUCAUUCCCUUGCUGCCUUGAAGUAGAGAAUAAAGCAUCUUUGGAGGUCCUCCUUCCGAGAGUAGGUUCACCUUCAGAAUAUAAAUGGCAGCCUCCUUCCCGUGACGCUUCCUACUCUCCAGGCAGGCACACCACAUGUGCAGCGGAUAUGACACAUGACUUGGGCUUCAAUCCUGCGAUCAUAUAUAUUUUUAAUUCAAGUUCCAUGCAAUUUGGUGAAUAUUACCUUUAUUGGGUAAUUACCUUAUUCAGAGUGCUCUUAACAGCCCUGUCGACACGAAUGUCAGCUCACUACAAGAGAUGGGCUUGCUGAAAGCAACACAAAAAGAAACUGAGGCAGGUUUUUCUUUUAACCUGUUUGUUAAAAUUUUAUGAGUAAGUCAUUUUCUCCCUUGUGGGCUUUCCCUUCUAGUUUAUGUGAGAUCACAGCUGCUUGAAUGUAAAUGUGGCUGCCCCGUCUCCCUGUCAUCCACAGCAGCUGUCUCAGAUCCAGAGAGGCUCCCUUGGGUGGGGUGGAGGGGGGGUUCCUCACCCACCCAGGAACUGACGGGGCCAUGAGGGGCUGCUGGCUUCGCUGCACCCAUCAUCUUGGUGAGCUAACCACAGACAGGCAGGGUGCUGCUGCAGGAGAGUCAGGGUAGGCCGUGCCCUGAGAUGGAGGGAGGACUUUCUGUGCGUGGUUCCGAUCAGCCCUGACUGUCCAUAUUCAUGACAGAGAAAUAACAGCCCCAUCAACAUUGCCCAGAAGGCUGUCACGAUUAGCACCAGGCUGUCAUGAUUCUCCACCACAUAUCAAAAGCGCUCUCCGGUUAGAUAAGUUUGAGAAAUACCACAUAGACUUCACGGCUCUCCUGGAGAAUCACGGCACAUAGCAACACCCAGAAGACUCUGAAAACUGUCUCUUGGUGUUAGGGGUUGAAUUGUGUUCCCCCCUCCCCCAGUAUUCACAUGUUAAAGCCCUAACCCCCAGUACCUCAGAAUGUGAACUUAUCUGGAAAGAGACUUAUUGCAGAUAUAAUUAGUUACUAUGAGGUCACAUUGGAGUCUGGUGGGCCUCUAAUCUCAUCCUUACAAAAAGGGGAAAUCUGGACACAGACACCCACACUGAGAGAACAACAUGGGACCAUGAUGGCGGAGAGCAGUUUGAUGCUUCCACAAGCCAAGGAAUACCAAAGACGGCCAGCAAACCACCAGCAGCUAGAACAAGUUCUCAGUGAAAGGUAAUGGUGUUCCUCUCACUACUGCUGCUGCUGAAGAUAAGCAUGAUGAUGUUGGUGAGGCAGCAGAGGAAGAAGGGGGAGAAGCAGGAGAAAAAGCAGGAGAAAAAAGAGCAUGAAUCCACUGAGCCUGGCACCUCUUUGUGAAAUAAAAGGUUGUAAACAAUCUCA